rnacentral:rRNA from 1 species
GACGAACGCUGGCGGCGUGCUUAACACAUGCAAGUCGAACGGAAAGGCCCUGCUUUUGUGGGGGGCUCGAGUGGCGAACGGGUGAGUAACACGUGAGUAACCUGCCCUUGACUUUGGGAUAACUUCAGGAAACUGGGGCUAAUACCGGAUAGGAGCUCCUGCUGCAGGGUGGGGGUUGGAAAGUUUCGGCGGUUGGGGAUGGACUCGCGGCUUAUCAGCUUGUUGGUGGGGUAGUGGCUUACCAAGGCUUUGACGGGUAGCCGGCCUGAGAGGGUGACCGGCCACAUUGGGACUGAGAUACGGCCCAGACUCCUACGGGAGGCAGCAGUGGGGAAUAUUGCACAAUGGGCGGAAGCCUGAUGCAGCAACGCCGCGUGCGGGAUGACGGCCUUCGGGUUGUAAACCGCUUUCGCCUGUGACGAAGCGUGAGUGACGGUAAUGGGUAAAGAAGCACCGGCUAACUACGUG